rnacentral:misc_RNA from 1 species
GAUGAAGAACGCAGCGGAAUGCGAUAAGUAGUGUGAAUUGCAGAAUUCAGUGAAUCAUCGAAUCUUUGAACGCACAUUGCGCCCCUUGGUAUUCCAUGGGGCAUGCCUGUUCGAGCGUCAUUUGUACCUUCAAGCUUUGCUUGGUGUUGGGUGUUUGUCCAUUCUCUUGCAGAGGGACUCGCCUUAAAGUAAUUGGCAGCCAGUGUUUUGGUUUUGAAGCGCAGCACAAGUCGCGAUUCAAAGCUAUACGCCCGCUUCCACAAGCCUUUUUCACUUUUGACCUCGGAUCAGGUAGGGAUACCCGCUGAACUUAAGCAUAUCAAUAAGCGGAGGA